UCGGUUCCUACUGGCCACUCCCCCUAACUGGGACACCCACCUCCCCUUCCGGUUCCCGCAGGCCGUCCUCCCGCGGCCACCAAGGCCUGGGCCGAAGGAACAGCGCGGCUGGCACUGUCCAGGCGCCGACAGGCAGGCGAGCCAGCCAGGAGUGAGGCGCGGCCAGGGACAGGGAGGGCCCGGAGCCGGGGAGUGGGGACGCGAGAGCGAACUAACGCACGAAGAGGAAGGCUUUGUUCCCCCGGGCAGUCCCCACUCCCAGUCCUGGUGGCCCAGACGAGUGUGGGCCCAUGGCCCAGCCAUACAUCGCCCAGCGAAAGACGUGGACCUGUGAGCAUCCUGGGGCCAAGAAUUCUGUGGGCGCCUCCAUUUCCCGUAGAACUUGAAGCUCUGAGCACAUCAGCUGGAACAGCUGCAGCCUUCUUCAGCUUGAGAGGGGAGAACUACCAAGGGAGUGGAUGGAGUCCAUAUCGGGAAGAGAAACGUUUCCUGUGCUGCAGCAAAUUCCCACGAACUUCAUGACUUAAGACAACCGUAAUGUCAGGCCUUGAUGAUGCAUGUCUGUAAUCCCAGACACUCGAAAGGCUUAAAGUAAAGGAUUGUAAGUUGAGGCCAGCCUCAACAAUUUACUGAUACCCUGUGCUCAGUGGUAAGGUUCCUGGGUUCCAUCCCGAGCACCAAAAACAAUGUAUUUCCCCCCACCCCCCACAGUUCUGGGGCCAGAAGCCUGACAUGAACAUCACUAGGCUGAAAUCAAGAUAUCCUCAGACCCUAGGUUCAAUCCCCAACACCCCCACCCCCCCCACACACACAGUUGAUUUCAGCUGAGCUCCCACUAAGGCUCUAAGGAGAACCACUUUUCUUGCCUUUUCCAAUAGGUUCAGCUGCUUUCCUUGUAUUCUUUGGCUUGUGGUCCCUUCCUCCAUCUUCAAAGAAUUGCAGACAUCUUACUGUUUCUCUAGUCAAUAAGUAAAAAUCCACCAGGUUGGUGGCAUACACCUAUUAUCCCAGCUAAUGGAGAGGCUGAGGCAGGAGGAUUUCAUAUUCAAGGACAGUAUCCUCAACUAAUGAGACCCUGUCUCAAAUAAGUACUAGAGAUGUACCCUGAGUCCAGCCCCCAGAACCAACCAACCAACAAAUAAAAAACCAAGGAAGUAAAAAUCCUUAA
rnacentral:lncRNA from 1 species